rnacentral:rRNA from 1 species
AACGCGAAGAACCUUACCUGGGCUUGAACUGUCGGAAGUAGUCUUUAUGAAAGUAGAGACGGACCGUUAAGUCGGUAACCGAUAGAGGUGCUGCAUGGCUGUCGUCAGCUCGUGUCGUGAGAUGUUGGGUUAAGUCCCGCAACGAGCGCAACCCUUACCCUAUGUUGCUACGUCCGUAAAGGACAGCACUCUUAGGGAACUGCCUCGGACAACGGGGAGGAAGGUGGGGAUGACGUCAAGUCACCAUGGCCUUUAUGUCCAGGGCUACACACGUGCUACAAUGGCCGGUACAGCGAGCAGCAAAUCCGCAAGGAGGAGCAAAUCUCUAAAAGCCGGCCCCAGUUCAGAUUGUGGGCUGCAAUUCGCCCACAUGAAGGUGGAAUCGCUAGUAAUCGGGGAUCAGCUGGCCCCGGUGAAUACGUUCCCGGGCCUUGUACACACCGCGAGC